GAUGAACGCUAGCGGCAGGCUUAAUACAUGCAAGUCGAGGGGCAGCGCAGUGUAGCCAUCCACGGGCGGCGACCGGCAAACGGGUGCGGAACACGUACGCAACCUACCCAUAACUGAUGAAUAGCCCUCCGAAAGGAGGCUUAAUACAUCGUAACUUACUGAAGCGGCAUCGCUUUAUUAAUAUAGCUCCGGCGGUUUUGGAUGGGCGUGCGCCUGAUUAGGUAGUUGGCGGGGUAACGGCCCACCAAGCCUGCGAUCAGUAACUGGUGUGAGAGCACGACCAGUCACACGGGCACUGGGACACGGGCCCGACUCCAACGGGAGGCAGCAGUAAGGAAUAUUGGUCAAUGGACGCAAGUCUGAACCAGCCAUGCCGCGUGAAGGAUGAAGGUGCUCUGGAGUGUAAACUUCGUGUGAAUGGGACGAAACCUCUUUAUCUUGAGAGACUGACGGUACCAUUAGAAUAAGCACCGGCUAACUCCGUG
rnacentral:rRNA from 1 species